rnacentral:rRNA from 1 species
ACGCGUAGGCGUUUAUGUAAGUUAUUUGUUAAAGCUCUCUACUUAAUGGAGAAAAGCAAGUAAUACUGCGUAAAUUGAGACAGAAAGAGGAGAGGGAAUUCCUGGUGGAGCGGUGAAAUGCGUUGAUAUCAGGAGGAACACCGAGUGCGAAGGCACCUCUCUGGUUCUUGUCUGACGCUAAGGCUCGAAAGCGUGGGUAGCAAAAC